rnacentral:rRNA from 1 species
ACAAGGAUUCCUCUAGUAACGGCGAGCGAACGAGGAAAAGCCCAGCACCGAAUCCUGUACCGUUCUGGUACUAGGAAAUGUGGUGUUUAGGCCGUGCUUUGUGCCGGUAUGAUUCUCCUCAAGUCCACUUGAUUGUGGCUUCAGGCCCAGAGAGGGUGUAAGGCCCGUGGAGGCGAGUUGUCCGGUGCCCGGCACGUCCUUAGAGUCGGGUUGUUUGGGAAUGCAGCCCAAAGCGGGUGGUAAACUCCAUCCAAGGCUAAAUACUAGCACGAGUCCGAUAGCGAAGAAGUACCGCGAGGGAAAGUUGAAAAGAACUUUGAAGAGAGAGUUCAAGAGUACGUGAAACCGCUGAGAGGCAAACUGGUGGAGCUCAAAUGGUCUUGCGGAAUUCAGCCCUUCCUACUAGAGAUGGUGUCAGUUGUGAGAUCUCACGACUCCUCUGGCGCUAAUUCUUCGUGAAGGAUAGGUGCACUUUCUUCUUGACCGGACCACGACCAGCGACCUGUCUUGUCUGACGUAGUUGGAAGGUAGCGUUCACUUCGGUGAACGUGUUAUAGCCAUCUAUUUGGAGUGAGCAGGGCGUUGGAUACUAAAGACGCUUGCCCUUCGGGCUCGUACGUUGUCUCUUUCCAAUGUGUCGCCGGCUUCACUGCCUUUGGCAGGGGUGUUGGAGACGCGUUAGUUAGCGGCGGCCUCUGCGAUUGGCGUCGAAAGUCUGUGGUUAUGAAGUAGGCAGUCCACCUGACCCGUCUUGAAACACGGACCAAGGAGUCUAACAUGUGCGCGAGUCAUUGGGUUCUACGAAACCUAAAGGCGCAGUGAAAGUGAAGAUCCAUUUUGAUGGAUUGAGGUGGGAUCCUGAGUCACGUGCUCGGGCGCACUACCGGCCCGUUCGACAUAUUUUUAUGCGGGCGGAGCAAGAGCGUACACGUUGGGACCCGAAAGAUGGUGAACUAUGCUUGCGCAGGUCGAAGCCAGAGGAAACUCUGGUGGAGGACCGUAGCGAUU